rnacentral:rRNA from 1 species
CAGCCCCGCGGUAAUACCGGCGGCCCGAGUGGCGGUCACUAUUAUUGGGCUUAAAGCGUCCGUAGCCGGGGUGGGAAGUCCUCCGGGAAAUCUGGCCGCUUAACGGUCAGAAUGCCGGAGGAUACUCCCAGCCUAGGGAGCGGGAGAGGCCGAGGGGAUUCCCGGAGUAGGGGUGAAAUCCUAUAAUCCCGGGAGGACCACCUGUGGCGAAGGCGCUCGGCUGGAACGCGUCCGACGGUGAGGGACGAAGGCCAGGGGAGCAAACCGGAUUAGAUACCCGGGUAGUCCUGGCUGUAAACGAUGCGGACUUUGUGUCGGACAAGCUAUGAGCUUGUCCGGUGCCGGAGGGAAACCGUUAAGUCCGCCGCCUGGGGAGUACGGCCGCAAGGCUGAAACUUAAAGGAAUUGGCGGG